UGGGCUUAACUUCCGACCCUAUCAAAAGUAAUCAUAAUAGUAUCAAAGGCAGGUAUAAGAGAAAAAAAGGAAAGAGAGAAACUUACCAAAUUUGAAUAAUGAUCCUUCCAUCAAGAUUCUGAGCAUCGAUUCCUUCAAAAGGAUUGUUUUCAAUCUCAAUCAGAGGAUCCUGGGCCAAUUGAUGAAUGAGGGCAUUCGCUGCAAACAUCAACUCGCUCUCUCGCUCAAUCUGUUCAGCUGCAACUUGCAGAGCACUUAGCGGCUGUCGCAUACGCCAAACACCCUUUCUCUUCCUUGCCUGCCGAUCUCACUUUCGUAGCCCUCCGGCGACGACCCUGUUUGGACAAGCGAUUCUCAAAGUUACAAGAGUUUAAUUUCAGCUGCAAAGCGUCACAAUAAAAUAUCUGACGACAGCACUCUUAAAUCCUAGCUUAAUUCCCACUUCCUUCUUUCCCUUCUGCUCCCGGGUGCCCGUCCUCCAUCUCAGCCAUCAUUCCAAUCUCUAAUCCAACCAAAUUUCUCUCUCCAACAAAAACCCAAAUAUUUCUUCUUGCAAAACCCCGAUAAUUUCUUUCCUCCAAACCCUAACAUACAACAGGUACUCAAUAGAACCGGGCAACUAGCAACCAGAGAGACACCACCGCCUCUGGCCAAGUCCUGAAGGAGGUUCGAGAACGAACCGACAGGCCGUGAAGCAGGCGUGGGGCGAGCGUAUUGCGUCCAGAAAGAGUGUUACAGCGUGUAAAGUUUCGUAGGCAGCUCUGGUGGCGCUGCAGGCUGAUUUAUGGAGCUCGUUGGGAUUGGAUAUGCAGGGGAUUCCAUCUCCUCAAAAGCUUAUAACCAUUGAAGGAAGGCUGAGUUGGACAUCUUAAGCUCCAUAGUUCAUCAAGUUAGGAAGGUCAGUGGUACUGGUUCUGAAAGCAGGAGGAGCAUCCAUUCAUCUAAAAGAACAGAAUCAGAUCAGAAUAGCAUGAACAGAGAUGCUGGUGGAUUCAGGUGUUGGACAAAAUCUUAACCCCAAAUGAAGCCAUAUGGUGACAUAGGCAAAUGAUAAAGAUAUGGUAUAUAAGUAGAGAGAGAUACAAGAUCAAAUUGCAAGGAAGAAGAGGGGUACAAGUGCUCUCCAAGUUGCAGCUGAACAGAUGAAGCGAGAGAAGGAGCUGAUAUUUGCAGCGAAUGCCCUCAUUCGUCAUUUUGUAGGAAUCCAUGCUCAGAAUCCUGAUGGGAGGAACAUUAUUCAAAUUUGACAAGUUUUUCUUUUUUUAUUUAUAUAUAUAUUUAUACCCGCCCUGGAUUCCAUUAUGACUGUUUUAUUGAUUAAAUAAUUAUGGAUUAUGACUUCUUAAUAUCUCGUUAUCA